CCCUUAGAUGUUCUGGGCUGCACACGUGCUACACUGGCAGGUUCAGCGAGCUUCAUGCCCUGAUCUGAAAGGAAUGGGAAAUCUUUUCAAAACCUGUCGUGCUUGGGAUAGAUGUUUGCAAUUAUUCAUCUUCAACGAGGAUUGCCUUGUAAGCGCACGUCAUCAGCGUGCAUUGAAUACGACCCUGUAUUCUGUACACACCGCCCGUCGCUCCUACCGAUUGAAGUUUUCGGUGAGUUGACAGGAGGAUUUUUUUGAAACUGGUUCGCCAGUGGAUUUUAGAUCCAAAUGCCAACGAAUCGAUGGCUUUAGAGGAAGGAGAAGUCGUAACA
rnacentral:rRNA from 1 species